GUUCGGGCCCCCAACCAGCUGAGGGAGGAAACUGAAGCCGAAGCUAACGCGAAGAAUAUCUUAAAAUCUCCACAGACUUUGUGAUCCUUCGUAUGGGAGUUUAAUUAAAUACAGCAUAAUUCCCUGCUUCCUCAACGCUACCUGCCUAUCUAUGCCGAUCUUUGUAUCUUCUGUAAACCUGGCCACCAAGCUAUCAAUUCUGACAUCCAGAAAAAUGACAUGAUUGUGACAUGACUGUGGUAAGAUCACAUGAUAAUGACAUGGGUCAACUAACACUGAAAACAGGAACCAGAGGCAGAAAAUGGCUCUGCCUUCCUCAGCCAGCGCUGUCAUUCAAUAAGUGUGGACGGGAUUCUGUUGAAGACUCUGAUCUGGAGUUACACUCACACUUCAGUUCUUUAUGGUGAAGGGAUCUGCUGUCGGGGUUCACGACUGGCCACUUCUCGAAAACCCAAGGACGCAGCUUAAAAGACAAGCUGCCUUUGGGGUUCUGAGGUUCUGCGUCCCUAUGGACAGGCUGAUGCCACCUACUGAAGCAUCGCAGGAGAAAACGGGACAUCGAGAACAGUGGUUCAGCUGUCAGAGGCUCUGCACUCACCGGUGGGUGAGAGAUUGUUGCCAUUUCUCCGGCCGAAGAACUCGGGGAGAAAAAGCAGUGCAACAGACUUUUAACCGUAAAUCAGUGAGUUGUUUUGUUAUGUCACCCCUCUCGCUGUCUAAGGGGAGACUUCUUUUUCUGUUUAUUAGGGAGAGAGAGAUAAAGAGAGAGAGCCUGUAGUAUGUCAAAUUGUCUGGUGAACAACUAGUUUUUGUUGUGCUGCAUAUCAUGGUCUUUAUUAGGGGCUUUACUAUUGCUUGCUUGGUGGGUGGAGGGUGCUGAUGAUUUAUGUGGAAGUGGGUGCUGCUUUGCUGCUGCGUGGCAGGGUUGGAGUGGGGGGGCUUUGGGGCUCUAACAUUUUAACUGUCUCUCAUUCUUCGGGGCGCUGAAAGAAUUUUUGUGGGUGUCUGUGAAGAACGGGAACUUCAGGAUGAAUAUUGCAUACAUUUCUCUGAUAUUGAAUGGAACUCCUGAACUAUCAAAUUACUGAACCCAAAGGGCCGGCAGAGGCUGACACACCAGCAGCGUCACAGGAGUUGGCAGUCAGCAUUUAACUCAGUGUUGGACUGCCUUAGGGACUCCAGCUCCAGAUUUUUCCAUAGGGGCUCACUCCCAAAGCUUUCCCUAUGGAAUAUAUCCACAAGGCAGCAGAGGUUUGAGAUCAGAGUUUUCCUUCUCCCAGAUGAGCUGCCAACUGCUGCUGACAAGCCCCAUCUGUCUGAAGGGUUUUCUACUCAGCACCCUAACCAAUUAAUGCAAUAGCUGUGCGCCAUCUUUACCAUCCUAUACACUGAUGUUGCCACCUUCAGAGAGAUAUAGACUUGCAGCUGAAGAUCCCUCUGUACAUCUGUUCUCAAAGGUCCUGCAUUUUACUGUAGGUAUUCCUUUUAUAUUUAACUUUCCAAAAUACAAUCCUCACAUUUGCCUUUUCCCUGCCCAUACUUAGGACUUUCUUCCUUGAACUGUAGAAGGUUGAGGGGAGAUUUGAUAGAAGUAUACAAAAUUAUGCAAGCAGACUUUUUCCACUGAGGACUACAACUAGAGGUCAUGGGUUAAGGGUGAAAGGUGAGAAGUUUAAAGGGAACAUGAAGGGAACAUUUUCUCUCAGAGGGUGGUGAGAGUGUGGAAUGAGCUGCUAGCACGUGCUGCAUGCGAGCUCAAUUUUGGCACAAGAGAAGUUUGGAUAAGUACAUGGCUGGCAGGAGUAUGGAGGGCUAUGGUCCUGCUGCAGGUCAAUGGGAGUAGGUUUACAUGGUUUGUCAUGAACUAGAUGGGCUGAAAGGAAAGACCCAAGGUUUGAUCGCUAUAAGCCGUGAGCUGAAUUGAAAAGGUUGGGUACGGGCCAAAUCAGGCAAUGGAACCCAAGCCCAUCGGCGAGGUCUGAACAUCUGAAAUGGCCUGGGUGUUGAAAUCAAAGGUGUGAGAUGGGCCGGUUUGGCUGGCUGCUCCGUGGGGUUCGCUCGUCCCUGUGCUGGACUGAGGCUGUGUCCUGCAACGAGUGAACAUCUGGAUCGGCUGCAAAGAUGCCUGGCUUCGUGAACUUCAGUUCAGAAUCUUGUUUGCAUGAUUUGUUUUAUUUAUCUCUCUCUCUCUCCCUCCCUCCCUCACUGGUCUUCUUUUGUUUCUAUUGGAUUCUUUUGGGAUUAUUUGUUUCAUGACUGCCGAUAAGGAGACGAAUCUCAGGGUUGUAUAAUGAAUACAUACUUUGAACUUUGAAAUCGUGGAUUGAUCUGAGGCCCUGAGGUUGGUUUGGCUCAGCAAAUGGAAGAAAACAAAGAGAAAAUGGACAUUUUUAACCAUCCAUUUCAACACUGAGGUUUAAAAGUAAACCCAGAAUAAA